AGCAGUAGCCGCGGUAAUACGUAGGGUGCGAGCGUUAAUCGGAAUUACUGGGCGUAAAGCGUGCGCAGGCGGUUUUGUGAGACAGGCGUGAAAUCCCCGGGCUCAACCUGGGAAUGGCGCUUGUGACUGCAAAGCUAGAGUGCGGCAGAGGGGGAUGGAAUUCCGCGUGUGGCAGUGAAAUGCGUAGAUAUGCGGAGGAACACCGAUGGCGAAGGCAAUCCCCUGGGCCUGCACUGACGCUCAUGCACGAAGGCGUGGGGAGCAAACAGGAUUAGAUACCCCUGUAGUCCCUGUCUCUUAUAC
rnacentral:rRNA from 1 species